rnacentral:snRNA from 1 species
CGUGCGCCUUCGAGGCACAAUAUACUAAAAAUGGAACGACACAGAGAAGAUUUAGCAAUGGCCUCCUGCACAAGGAUGACACGGGCAAUUCAUGAAGCAUUCCAUAUUUAA